rnacentral:rRNA from 1 species
UACGGGGGGGGCAAGCGUUGUUCGGAAUUACUGGGCGUAAAGGGCUCGUAGGCGGCCAACUAAGUCAGACGUGAAAUCCCUCGGCUUAACCGGGGAACUGCAUCUGAUACUGGAUGGCUUGAGAUUGGGAGAGGGAUGCGGAAUUCCAGGUAUAGCGGUGAAAUGCGUAGAUAUCGGGAGGAACACCGGUGGCGAAGGCGGUUCUCUGGGCCUUAACUGACGCUGAGGAGCGAAAGCGUGGGGAGCGAACAGG